GCGUUUGUAGCUCAGUUGGUAGAGCGGGGAUCUCUAAAAUCCUAUGUCACGGGUUCGAGUCCCGUCUGACGCACCA
rnacentral:tRNA from 1 species